AGAGUUUGUAUCCUGGCUCAGAGCGAACGCUGCGGCAGGCUUAACACAUGCAAGUCGAGCGGGCAUCCUUGUGGUGUCAGCGGCGAGACGGGUGAGUAACGCGUGGGAACGUGCCCUUCGGUUCGGAAUAACUCAGGGAAACUUGAGCUAAUACCGGAUACGCCCUUAUGGGGAAAGGUUUAUCUGCCGAAGGAUCGGCCCGCGUCUGAUUAGCUAGUUGGUGAGGUUACGGCUCACCAAGGCGACGAUCAGUAGCUGGUCUGAGAGGAUGAUCAGCCACACUGGGACUGAGACACGGCCCAGACUCCUACGGGAGGCAGCAGUGGGGAAUAUUGGACAAUGGGGGCAACCCUGAUCCAGCCAUGCCGCGUGAGUGAUGACGGCCUUGGGGUUGUAAAGCUCUUUUCUCCGGGACGAUAAUGACGGUACCGGAGGAAUAAGCCCCGGCUAACUUCGUG
rnacentral:rRNA from 1 species